UUUUGGGCUGCACCUGUGGCAUAUGGAAGUUCCCAGGCUAGGGGUUGAAUUAGAGCUGCAGCUGCCGGCCUACGUCACAAGCCACAGCAACACCAGAUCUGAGCCACGUCUGCCACCUACACCACAGCUCACAGCGCCAGAUCCUUAACCCACUGAGCGAGGCCAGGGAUUGAACCCACAUCCUCAUGGAUACUAGUUGGGUUCAUUUACUGCUGAGCCACGAUGGGAACUCCCCCCUCCAGCUUCUGACUGACCCGCUCCCCUGCAUGCUCCCCUCCAGGGAUUUGGGGACAGGACCUCCAAAACGUUGACCUGGCUCAGCCCUUCAGCCCUCCCAGCUCCUCCCAGGUGCUCUGUGUUCUCAACAUGACUCUCAAGCCUCUGGUGGGUGCUGGUGGGAUUCUGGAUGACCAGGGGCAGGGAUGGGGGGUGGGGGUGGGAGCAGGGAAAAGCUUCAAAAACUAGAGGAAGAAAGGAGGGGAUCUGGCUGUAGGGGGCGUGCGCAGAGGUUUGCUUGCAGCCGUGUAGCUGGGACAAAGUUUCCAUCCGGAGGGUGGAGGAAGAGCCCAAGGACAGUCCCUUUCUGCCCCUGUCACUUCUUCCUCUUGCCUUCCUCCAGCAGUAUCCCCAAAGCCCGCCCCUCCCCCACUCCAUCCCUCAACCUUGAACCUGAGUGUUUGAUUUGGAACCGGAAGAAGUUUAACGUGGGUCACUGAAAGUUGCCACCUCAGCCCCACCUCCCCAGCCUGGCCUGACCACCGCCACCCGUGUCUCCAACCCUCUGCCUUUGGCUGACUUGAAAGUACCCAUCAUGCCACUGCCCAAAGGCACCACCCAGAGCCAGGAAACCCCAGAGACUGAAAGAGGCACUCUGUCUUUUGAUUCAAGAGCCUGAAGACCGCUAGGAGCUCUAGCUAUGGCAGUCUCCCUUCUCUGGUUCCUGUGCAGUGUUCUAGCGAUGAGCGUGGGUGCGGGUGAUGCUGGAGUGAGGAAGGAGUUGGGAGGGAGUGUAAACCCGGCCAGCCUCCCCGCUGCCCCUCCGGAGCUCCCGGUGCCCAGCCCUGGACACACCCUGGCCAGAGCCAGCUGUUUGCAGACCUGAGCCGAGAAGAGCUGACGGCUGUGAUGAACUUUCUGACCCAGAAGCUGGGGCCAGGCCUGGUGGAUGCCGCCCAGGCCCGACCCGCAGACAACUGCAUCUUCUCAGUGGAGCUGCAGCUGCCCCCCAAGGCGGCAGCCCUGGCCCACCUGGACAGGGGGAGUCCCCCGCCUGCCCGGGAGGCCCUGGCCAUCAUCUUCUUUGGCGGACAACCCCAGCCCAAUGUGACCGAGCUGGUGGUGGGGCCGCUGCCCCAGCCCUCCUACGUGCGGGAUGUGACUGUGGAGCGUCACGGAGGCCCCCUGCCCUACCACCGACGCCCCGUGCUCAUGCGAGAGUACCUGGACAUCGACCAGAUGAUCUUCCGCAGGGAGCUGCCCCAGGCUGCUGGUCUCCUCCACCACUGCUGCUUCUAUAGCAGCCAAAGUCAGAACCUGGUGACCAUGAACUCAGCCCCCCGUGGUCUGCAGUCAGGGGACCGGGCCACCUGGUUUGGCCUCUACUACAACAUCUCAGGGGCCGGGUUUUACCUGCACCCGGUGGGGUUGGAACUGCUGGUAGACCACAAGGCUCUGGACCCUGCCCUCUGGACCAUCCAGAAGGUCUUCUUUCAAGGCCGCUACUAUGAGAGCCUGGCCCAUCUGGAGGAGCAGUUUGAGGCCGGCCUGGUGAACGUGGUGGUGAUCCCAGACAAUGGCACAGAUGCGUCCUGGUCCCUGAAGUCCCGGGUGCCCCCAGGUCCAGCUCCUCCUCUGCAGUUCUAUCCGCAGGGCCCCCGCUUCAGUGUCCAGGGGAGUCACGUGGCCUCCUCGUUGUGGACUUUUUCCUUUGGCCUUGGAGCUUUCAGUGGCCCAAGGAUCUUUGACAUCCGCUUCCAAGGGGAGAGAGUGGCUUAUGAAGUCAGCGUCCAGGAGGCCUUGGCUGUCUAUGGUGGUAAUUCUCCUUCUGCCCUGAGAGGUCGGUAUGCAGAUGCCAGUUUUGGCUUGGGCCACUUCUCCACCCCGCUGACCCGUGGGGUGGACUGUCCCUAUCUGGCCACCUAUGUGGACUGGCCCUUCCUUCUGGAGUCUCAGGUCUCCAAGACACUACGUGAUGCCUUUUGUGUGUUCGAACAGAACCAGGGCCUCCCUGUGAGGCGACACCACUCAGAUAUUCGCUCCCACUACUUUGGGGGCCUUGCAAAGACAGUGCUGGUCGUCAGAUCUGUGUCCACCAUGCUCAACUAUGACUACGUGUGGGACAUGAUCUUCCACCCCAAUGGAGCCAUUGAAGUCAAAUUACACACCACGGGCUAUAUUGGCUCAUCAUUCCUCUUCGGCGAUGUCCAAAGUUUCGGAAACAGGGUUGGGGAGCACACCCUGGGCACCGUCCACACCCAUAGCGCCCACUUCAAGGUGGAUCUGGAUGUGGGAGGACUGGAGAACUGGGUCUGGGCCGAGGACACAACAUUCGUCCCCACGGCGGUACCCUGGAGCCCUGAGCGCCAGAUACAGAGGCUGCAGUUGACCCGGAAGGUGCUGGAGACGGAGGAGCAGGCCGCCUUCCCCGUGGGAGGUGCGGCCCCUCGCUACCUGUACCUGGCCAGCAACCAGAGCAACAAGUGGGGGCACCCGCGGGGCUACCGCAUCCAGAUAGUCAGCUUUUCUGGGGAGCCGCUGCCCCAGAGCAGCUCCAUGGCAGGAGCUUUCAGCUGGGAGAGGUGGGUGGUGUGGCCAGGAUGGCAGGGGUGGGGGUCGGGGUGAGAGUGAGAAGGGAGGGUGGGGAAAUCAAUUCAGAUUGUACUCGAGGUGUAGGAAAAACUUGAAAAGGAUUUCCUGGUUAUCGAAAGUCCCACAGUGGAUACACGGUCCCCUGAAAUGCUAAAGGUGAGUGGCGGGGGAUCAGAGAGGCACUGGGGGAGGCGGACUGUUUGGGAGGCUACAUGUUACUGGGAACCCAGCUUCCCCCACCUCCCAUGGGUGUGUGUGCACAUACACACUCACGAUCACAAACACACACACACACUCCUGCUGCCACAAUCUUAGGCCACUCAAAAUGAAGCCUCCUGGUUGGAGAGAGACAUGCUGAACCACAUACGAUGGAAUGUCCAAGAUACCAGCUGGCCGUGACCCGGAGGAAGGAGGAGGAGCCCAGCAGCAGCAGCAUCUACAAUUUGAAUGACCCCUGGACCCCCACCCUGGAUUUCACUGACUUCAUCAACAAUGAGACCAUUGCUGGGCAGGACUUGGUGGCCUGGGUGACAGCCGGUUUCCUGCACAUCCCACACGCAGAGGACAUCCCCAACACGGUGACGGUGGCGAACAGUGUGGGUUUCUUCCUCCGACCCUACAACUUCUUUGACCAGGACCCCUCCAUCAAUUCUGCUGACUCCAUCUACUUCCGGGAGGACCAGGAUCCUGGGGCCUGUGAUGUCAACCCCCUGGCUUGCCUCUCCGAGGCUGCUGCCUGCGCCCCCGACCUCCCUGCCUUCUCCCACGGGGGCUUCUUUCACAACUAGGGGGUCCCUGGGAUGGGGAAUGUGGCCGGGGCUGCAGGGCCAGGGGGUGUGGGGCCGGGGGGCGAAGGGCACUGGGCCGGGCAGCGUGUCGCCUGUUCUCCUUCCUCAGACCCCAAGGUCCUCUCUCUCCAUCGCCCUGCCUUGCCUCCCCUCCUUGCUGGGAGCAUCCUGAGCCUGUGAUGCCUGACACAGGGGUACUCAGCUUUGUGGACCCCAGACCUGCUGGGUUCCUGUUGCAGAAAGGAGAGGAAUGGCCAAAUGGGAGCUUGGAGUGAUGGCUGAACUUUUCCCAGAAGACUCCUGUGUUUUUCUAACAGUUUUUUAAUCUUAUUUUUAAAUGAGAUAGAAUUCACAUACUGUGAAAUUCACCCUUUUAACGUGUACAAUUUAAUGGGUUUUAGAACCUUCAUAAAGUUGUGCAACCAUUGCCACUAAUUCCAGCACAUUUUCAUCAUCCCAGCAAGAAACCCCAGAACCUGUUAGUAGUCACCUCCUAUUUCCCUCCAACCCCUUCCCAGCUCUAGGCAACCAUUAGCCUUUCUGUCACUGAAGAUUUACCUAUAUUCUGGAAAUUUAGUAUAAAUAGAUUCAUGCAAUAAGCGGUCUUUUGUGA